AGGUUCCCUCGAGUGCCACCGCGGAGCUACAAUCGGGAGUCCCAGUGACUCUCAACUGAGCGCUCUGAGCGAAGGUCCCUGGAUCUCGGGCAGAAAGUGCCGCAGCGUGAUCGCUGUUAGCCUCCGCCGUCGGCUCAUCGAAGAGAGGAAGCUUCGGCUGAUCUUUCGAGCCGGGCGCGCGAGUGUAUUGGUCAAAGUAAAGUAAUGUGCUCGCACGUCGCUUUGCGGCGAACUUAACAGGGCCUACUCCGAGGAAACU
rnacentral:RNase_MRP_RNA from 1 species